rnacentral:rRNA from 1 species
GAUGAACGCUGGCGGCGUGCCUAAUACAUGCAAGUCGAGCGAACAGAUGAGGAGCUUGCUCCUCUGACGUUAGCGGCGGACGGGUGAGUAACACGUGGAUAACCUACCUAUAAGACUGGGAUAACUUCGGGAAACCGGAGCUAAUACCGGAUAAUAUAUUGAACCGCAUUGUUCAAUAGUGAAAGACGGUUUUGCUGUCACUUAUAGAUGGAUCCGCGCCGCAUUAGCUAGUUGGUAAGGUAACGGCUUACCAAGGCAACGAUGCGUAGCCGACCUGAGAGGGUGAUCGGCCACACUGGAACUGAGACACGGUCCAGACUCCUACGGGAGGCAGCAGUAGGGAAUCUUCCGCAAAGGGCGAAAGCCUGACGGAGCAACGCCGCGUGAGUGAUGAAGGUCUUCGGAUCGUAAAACUCUGUUAUUAGGAAAGAACAAAUGUGUAAGUAACUAUGCACGUCUUGACGGUACCUAAUCAGAAAGCCCCGGCUAACUACGUG